rnacentral:lncRNA from 1 species
GGUAGGAAAAACUGUGCCGGGUUCCAACUCACAACCUAAAGUGUUACCAGGCUAGUGUAAAGUAAAUGAACUACUUAGACCACUUGUUCACCGAGCUCCCUCAAGUCGUAAACUUACUGUUGAUUAGUUGUACUUUUUAUUCUGAAUGAAAGAGGCUUAAAUCAAUAAGAAAAUGUAAUGUAUCCUUGGAUAGACAUACCUUACUUUUUUAUUUCAACAGAUAAAAGUAAGCGGCUGUUUGUAAAAACAUUUAUAUGAAAAUCAUCUUGACAUGAAUUUGCUCUUAAUAUGUACAAUAAUUCUAUGGAAGUAAUUAAUUUUUAACAAAGUUUCAGAUUUUAGGAAAUAAACG